rnacentral:sRNA from 1 species
UAGCGGUGCCCCCCUUCUAAUAUACUGUCAUCCUAACAUUGAACUCUAUUUUACUUAAAUAGACCUUUUAAUUAAAAAAGAAAACAGAUUAACCUGCACCGGUUUGAGUUGGCUUGCAUAUUUGCCUCUAAUGCUUGCCGAUAUAGAAGUGUGUCAACAUUU